UUCUAUGUGAAAUUGAGGUUUUGUUUUGAUCAAAGUUGGGUUAUGCAGAUCCGACCAUAAAUCUUGAAGUUUUCUAUUUGAAAUUGAGGUUUUGUUUUGAUCAAAGUUGGGUUAUGCAGGUAAAUGGGGGAUAUCUACAAAUUUUGAUGGUACACGACUUUUCGUUAACGACAAUUUUGAUCAGAUGCUGACAUUCAAGGAAAAAAUCUUAAUACCAUGUUGGGUCGAAGAUGCUAUGCUGGUGAACUUAAGCGUAAUUUGAAAGCCGUUUAUGAUGUGGAUUUAUGUUCUUCUCAGUCUUCCACUAAACCGCCUAAGGGUGAUUGUGAGAACAAUGAAGGUUUGAAUGUGAAGGUGGGUCUUUUGAAUCCAAAGCUGGAAAAGUAGUCUCAGAAUCUAAUAGUCAUCUCAGUUUCGUCAAACAGUUUUCAAUUUUUUUUUUCGUUCAAUCGUAUUCAGAACAUUUAUGUCAGUACUUGAUGUUGCUUUUUACUCAAUGUUUG